rnacentral:lncRNA from 1 species
GAGAAACCUAAGUACUACGCCGAAAUCCUCAAAAAAGAAAAUCUCCCAUGGAUUCCAAAUUCUCAAAUUGUUUAUUUUCUUCUGCUUCAAAAAUUGCUUUAAGAUUCACUCACUCUCGGAAACCCACAACUUCAAAUUUCAAAAAAAAAAUCGAAAUAAUUCCCUAGUCGCAGUCAAAGACUGAACCUCACUUGAAAAAUUCCCCAGUGACGCUUGUGAUUCAGGUAAUUAUUUUACUCACGGCCAGCAGCUGUAUUCUAAGCAAUAUCCUUUGUGUCUCUUUUUUGAAAAAUAAAAUAAAAUAAAUUCAAUUGCGUUGUUGGCAGAUUUUAUUGGGUUAAAUAUUUUGAUUAGUUGCUGCAUUAUGGUUAAUUAUGGCUGUUUGUUUUGAAUACUUCGAUUAAAAGAUUGAGUGUGUAACGUAGAAUUGUGGAGGCCACCAGGUUGUUCUAGAAAUUAAACUAUGACUAUGCUUUGUUGUAAGCCUAAUGUGAUUACACAUACUACGUUGAUCUAUGGAUUAUGUUGGACAAGUCAUGCACUUGUUGCUAUUGAGCGAUUGAAUAGAUGGCUCUGUGAACCUAAUAUCUUUACUUAUGGUUGCAUUUUUUCUCAGGUUGGGUGUUUACAUAGGACAUAGGAAAAUGUUUGCGGCCUGUUAUUACAGAUUUUAAAAUGAAUGGAAAGAUAGACAAAGCAAGUAAGAGCUUAUUACAUGUUGAUAAUGGAUGGGUUUUGCUUGACGAACGUCUAUUUUCAUCACAAAUGGUGGUGCUAAAAUUCUUAAAAUUCAAGUGUGGUAUGCUUAUCCUGAUCGAUUGGUGGAAUUUAAGCAACUCUUAUCUUUUAGGACUGCUUUCGGAUCUUUCGGUUGCUAUCAAAUAAUGGAUUUUAGUGUUAACUAUCUCUCACCACCACAUAAUUAAUUUAGUGUUAAGUAUCUCUGACCACCACUUAAUUAAGUUUUUUAGACUGUUCUUGUACUUUUCGACUACAUAUAAUCAGAUCAAGAAAAUGUUUAGCUUUGGAAAAGUGGACAAGUACUGUUAUUUUGAUAAAUGGGUACUACUCGAAUCAAAUCCUAGAGGAAGAUAUAAGUCUUUACAGGGAAAUUUUAAGUGCAAGUAGAAUGGCUACAUUCUCAGUCAAAGUAGAAUGAUUACAUUCUUGAGGCAGUAGAAUUAUAUUGACAUAAGAAACUGCAAGUGUGAACUUAGUAUUGAAACUUGCAGUUCCCUUAUAGAUAGACUAGAAGUUUGCUUAUGAACUAUACCAUAGAUUGCCUAAUGAAGGCUUAAUACUAGAUGCCGUGGCAUACAACAAUGCGAAAGGAAAUGGUGUGGAGCCAAACAUAGUCAUAUUUUAUAAGCUUAUGGAUUGGUUGCAUCCAAGAUAACGAGGCAUCAAAGGUCAUUGAACUUUCUUACAAAAAUGGUGGAGAAAAAUGCAUCUAUGUUUCAGUCGCUGUAGACUUGUGAAGAAUGAAGUUAGUCUCAACUAGUUUCUAUAUUUUCAUAUAAAAGACCCACGUGGUUAAUGUAAUUCAAGUAGUUUAUGUUCCUUUUCCGUAUUACAAAGUCGGAAGAGUUAAUUAGCUGUGUUUGUAAUGGAAGAAUGCAUGUUAGUGCAAACACUAAUUCUUUAGUCUCUUCUUGCAGUACUUUCUUUUUCUUUUUUUUUCCUUUUUCUGAAAUAUUUAUUAAAUGACUUUACACUUUCGACUGAUUUUGCAUUCUCACAUGCUUAUAUUAGAAC